rnacentral:rRNA from 1 species
UAGGGAAUAUUGGGCAAUGGGCGCAAGCCUGACCCAGCAACGCCGCGUGAGGGAAGAAGGUUUUCGGAUUGUAAACCUCUGUCCUAUGUGACGAAGGAAGUGACGGUAGCAUAGGAGGAAGCCCCGGCUAACUACGUGCCAGCAGCCGCGGUAAUACGUAGGGGGCGAGCGUUGUCCGGAAUUACUGGGCGUAAAGGGUGCGUAGGCGGUUUGGUAAGUUGGAUGUGAAAUACCCGGGCUUAACUUGGGGGCUGCGAUCCAAUACUGUCGGACUUGAGUGCAGGAGAGGAAAGCGGAAGUUCCUAGUGUAGCGGUGAAAUGCGUAGAUAUUAGGAGGAACACCGGUGGCGAAGGCGGCUUUCUGGACUGUAACUGACGCUGAGGCACG